rnacentral:rRNA from 1 species
CCGGAGGCCAUUGCUAUCGGAGUUCCGAUUUAGCCCAUGCUAGUUGCACGAGUUCACACUCGUAGCAUAUAGCUCAGUAACACGUGGUCAAGCUACCCUGCAGACACGGACAACCUCGGGAAACUGAGGCUAAUCCGCGAUACCGAUCCCACGCUGGAAUGCCGGGAUCCACAAACGCUCCGGCGCUGCAGGAUGCGGCUGCGGCCGAUUAGGUAGACGGUGGGGUAACGGCCCACCGUGCCGAUAAUCGGUACGGGUUGUGAGAGCAAGAGCCCGGAGACGGAAUCUGAGACAAGAUUCCGGGCCCUACGGGGCGCAGCAGGCGCGAAACCUUUACACUGCACGCAAGUGCGAUAAGGGGACUCCGAGUGCGAGGGCAUAUAGUCCUCGCUUUUGAGAACCGUAAGACGGUUCUCGAAUAAGAGCUGGGCAAGACAAAGUGCCAGAAGCCGCGGUAAUACCGGCAGCUCAAGUGAUGGCCAAUCUUAUUGGGCCUAAAGCGUCCGUAGCUGGCCACGAAAGUCCGUCGGGAAAUCCAUCUGCCCAACAGAUGGGCGUCCGGCGGAAACUUCGUGGCUUGGGACCGGAAGGCUCGAGGGGUACGUCCGGGGUAGGAGUGAAAUCCCGUAAUCCUGGACGGACCGCCGAUGGCGAAAGCACCUCGAGAAGACGGAUCCGACAGUGAGGGACGAAAGCUAGGGUCUCGAACCGGAUUAGAUACCCGGGUAGUCCUAGCCGUAAACAAUGU